UACGUAGGGGGCAAGCGUUGUCCGGAUUUAUUGGGCGUAAAGAGCGUGUAGGCGGCCAGGUAGGUCCGUUGUGAAAACUCGAGGCUCAACCUCGAGACGCCGGUGGAAACCGUAAAGCUAGAGUCCGGAAGAGGAGAGUGGAAUUCCUGGUGUAGCGGUGAAAUGCGCAGAUAUCAGGAAGAACACCCGUGGCUAAGGCGGCUCUCUGGGACGGUACUGACGCUGAGACGCGAAAGCGUGGGGAGCAAACAGG
rnacentral:rRNA from 1 species